rnacentral:rRNA from 1 species
GAUGAACGCUGGCGGCGUGCCUAACACAUCCUUUUUCGAACGGGGUUAAGACGAAAUUUUCGGAUGGAAUCUUAACUUAGUGCCGGACGGGUGAGUAACGCGUGAUCAACCUGCCUAUCAGUGGGGAAUAACGUUUGGAAACGAACGCUAAUACCGCAUAACGUACAGAGAUCGCAUGUUUUUUGUACCAAAGAUUUAUUGCUGAUAGAUGGGCUCGCGUCUGAUUAGGUAGUUGGUAGGGUAACGGCCUACCAAGCCGACGAUCAGUAGCCGGACUGAGAGGUUGAACAGCCACAUUGGAACUGAGAAACGGUCCAGACUCCUACGGGAGGCAGCAGUGGGGAAUAUUGGGCAAUGGGCGAAAGCCUGACCCAGCGACGCCGCGUGAGGGAAGACGGUCUUCGGAUUGUAAACCUCUUUCAUCAAGGAGGACAAAGGGCGGGUCCUGCCGGAAGAAGCCCAGGGCUUAAAUACGUGCCCGCAGCCGCGGUCAUACCUAGGUGGCAAGCGUUUAUCCCGGAAUUACUGGGUGUAAAAGGGUGUGUAGGCGGGACUGCAAGUCAGAAGUGAAAAUUAUGGGCUCAACCCAUAACCUGCGUCUGAAACUGUUAGUUCUGAAGAGUGGGAGAGGUAGAUGGGAAUUCCUGGUGUAGCGGUGAAAUGCGUAGAUACCAGGAGGAACACCGGUGGCGAAGGCGAUCUACUGGACCACAACUGACGCUGAGACACGAAAGCGUGGGGAGCAAACAGGAUUAGAUACCCUGGUAGUCCACGCUGUAAACGAUGAAUGCUAGGUGUAGGGACCGAAAAGGUUUCUGUGCCGCAGUUAACACAAUAAGCAUUCCACCUGGGGAGUACGGCCGCAAGGUUGAAACUCAAAGGAAUUGACGGGAGCCCGCACAAGCAGUGGAGUAUGUGGUUUAAUUCGACGCAACGCGAAGAACCUUACCAGAGCUUGACAUCCCUUUGACCGGAUAUGUAAUGUAUCCUUUCUCUUCGGAGACAAAGGUGACAGGUGGUGCAUGGUUGUCGUCAGCUCGUGUCGUGAGAUGUUGGGUUAAGUCCCGCAACGAGCGCAACCCUUACGGUCAGUUGCUACGCAAGAGCACUCUGGCCGGACUGCCGUUGACAAAACGGAGGAAGGUGGGGACGACGUCAAAUCAUCAUGCCCCUUACGCUCUGGGCUACACACGUACUACAAUGGCGCAAACAAAGAGUUGCGACCCCGCGAGGGUGAGCUAAUCUCAUAAAAGGCGUCCCAGUUCGGAUUGUAGGCUGAAACCCGCCUGCAUGAAGUUGGAAUAACUAGUAAUCGUAGAUCAGCAUGCUACGGUGAAUAC